rnacentral:rRNA from 1 species
AUUGAACGCUGGCGUCAGGCCUAACACAUGCAAGUCGAACGAGUGGCGGACUGGUGCGUAUUUUCUGGGAAACUGCCUGAUCGAGGGGGAUAACUACUGGAAACGGUAGCUAAUACCGCAUACCAUCGGAUGUGCCCAGAUGGGAUUAGCUAGUCGGUGGGGUAAAGGCUCACCUAGGCGACGAUCCCUAGCUGGUCUGAGAGGAUGACCAGCCACACUGGAACUGAGACACGGUCCAGACUCCUACGGGAGGCAGAAGUGGGGAAUAUUGCACAAUGGGCGAAAGCCUGAUGCAGCCAUGCCGCGUGUAUGAAGAAGGCCUUCGGGUUGUAAAGUACUUUCAGCGGGGAGGCGUUACCAGCAGAAGAAGCACCGGCUAACUCCGUGCCAGCAGCCGCGGUAAUAC